UACGUAGGGUGCGAGCGUUGUCCGGAAUCACUGGGCGUAAAGAGCUCGUAGGUGGUUUGUCGCGUUGUUCGUGAAAACUCACAGCUUAACUGUGGGCGUGCGGGCGAUACGGGCAGACUGGAGUACUGCAGGGGAGACUGGAAUUCCUGGUGUAGCGGUGGAAUGCGCAGAUAUCAGGAGGAACACCGGUGGCGAAGGCGGGUCUCUGGGCAGUAACUGACGCUGAGGAGCGAAAGCGUGGGGAGCGAACAGG
rnacentral:rRNA from 1 species